rnacentral:rRNA from 1 species
GACGAACGCUGGCGGCGUGCCUAAUACAUGCCAGUAGAACGCUGAAGGAGGAGCUUGCUUCUCUGGAUGAGUUGCGAACGGGUGAGUAACGCGUAGGUAACCUGCCUGGUAGCGGGGGAUAACUAUUGGAAACGAUAGCUAAUACCGCAUAAUAGUAGAUGUUGCAUGACAUUUGCUUAAAAGGUGCAAUUGCAUCACUACCAGAUGGACCUGCGUUGUAUUAGCUAGUUGGUGGGGUAACGGCUCACCAAGGCGACGAUACAUAGCCGACCUGAGAGGGUGAUCGGCCACACUGGGACUGAGACACGGCCCAGACUCCUACGGGAGGCCGCAGUAGGGAAUCUUCGGCAAUGGACGGAAGUCUGACCGAGCAACGCCGCGUGAGUGAAGAAGGUUUUCGGAUCGUAAAGCUCUGUUGUAAGAGAAGAACGAGUGUGAGAGUGGAAAGUUCACACUGUGACGGUACCUUACCAGAAAGGGACGGCUAACUACGUG